GACGAACGCUGGCGGCGUGCUUAACACAUGCAAGUCGAACGGAAAGGCCCUGCUUGCAGGGUACUGGAGUGGCGAACGGGUGAGUAACACGCGGGUGUUCUGCCUAGCUCUUCGAGAUAAGUCUGGGAAACUGGGUCUAAUUCCGGACAGGAGCUAUUUUUAGUGUGAUGGUUGGAAAGUUUUUUCGGUGUUGGAUGAGCUCGGGGGCUAUCAGCUUGUUGGUGGGGUAAUGGCCUACCAAGGCGGCUACGGGUAGCCGGCCUGAGAGGGUGGCCGGCCACAUUGAGACUGAGAUUCGGCCCAGGCACCGACUGGUGGGAGAAGUGGGGAAUAGUGCAAGAGGAGCGCAGGCCUGAUGCUGAGACGCCGCGGGGGGGAUGACGGCCUUCGGGUUGGAGACGCAAUGCGCUAGUGACGGAGCUUAUUGUGACGGUACCUAGAGAAGAAGCACCGGCUAACUACGUG
rnacentral:rRNA from 1 species